UACGGGGGGAGCAAGCGUUGUUCGGAUUUACUGGGCGUAAAGGACGCGUAGGCGGCCUCCGCAAGUCAGUUGUGAAAUCUCCGAGCUUAACUCGGAAAGGUCAACUGAUACUGCGGGGCUAGAGUGCGGAAGGGGCAACUGGAAUUCUUGGUGUAGCGGUGAAAUGCGUAGAUAUCAAGAGGAACACCUGCGGCGAAGGCGGGUUGCUGGGCCGACACUGACGCUGAGGCGCGAAAGCUAGGGGAGCGAACGGG
rnacentral:rRNA from 1 species